GAGAGAGAGAGAGAGAGAGAGAGAGACGGUUCCAAGCCCCACAAGCAGAGGAUGCAACUUUCUGCCUUUAAGUGAUAAAUCUAAGACCUCCGGAAGAGUCUUGGAAUAGAAAUAAUUAGCCAAACGUACUCCGCGCCUGCUUUUAAAUGAUGCACUUCAAGGGUGAGAGUGCUUGCUUGAGUCAGAGCGCAGAGGAAGUGGAUUUUCGUUCAAGGGGCGCUGGGAGGUCACAGGCAUCUGGGCCACUCGAUAGCCAAUCUGGAGCAACUAAUAAGACAGUCAGUUGA